GGAAAAAACCUGGCCAUGAAUCUGAUGAUGCACCACUCGAAGUUUCGUACCAAAGCAACAGGAACACAACUCAAAUUGAAGAGGAACCUGCAACUGAAAUUCUAAACGAAAGUGCCAAAAAGAAGAAGAAAAAAAUAAGAAGGGAUUGAAUUCGUCUGUAGUUGAAGAAAUCAGCUUAUUUGGACAAAAAGCUAACGCAGCUGACAAGUCAAACACUUCGAUCACAGAAGGCAGUGCUAAGAAGAAGAAGAAAUUGUUGGAAUCUCAAGUGGAGCAGGAAAAAGAGGGCGAUACAAACGUUUUAGUUCAAAAUGUGUCAAUAGGCAGUGCUAAAAAGCAGAAACAGAAAACAGCUGAUGAGAAUUCUGGAGUGGAAGCUACUGAAGGUAAACUACGUGAUAACCAACUCGCUGACCCU